GAUGAAGAACGUAGUGAAAUGCGAUAAGUAAUGUGAAUUGCAGAAUUCAGUGAAUCAUCGAAUCUUUGAACGCACCUUGCGCCCUUUGGACAUUCCGAAGGGCAUGCCUGUUUGAGUAUCAUGAACACCUCAACUCUCACGGCUUGUCCGUGAUGAGCUUGGACUUUGGGGGUCUUGCCGGCCUGUGGUCGGCUCCUCUCAAAUGGAUCAGCUUGCCAGUGUUUGGUGGCAUCACAGGUGUGAUAACUAUCUGCGCUUGUGGUUUUCCAUCAGAUAACCUUCAGUGAUAUGGAGGUUCGCUGGAGCUCACAAAUGUCUCUCCUUAGUGAGGACAGCUCUUUGAACGUUUGAUCUCAAAUCAGGUAGGACUACCCGCUGAACUUAAGAAUAUCAAUAAGCGGAGGA
rnacentral:misc_RNA from 1 species